AUUGCUUGCUUAUAGGUGAAGGAUCACUACAUGCAUGCAGAAGGUGCUGAUGUUGUCCAACAUAUAAUAGAUAAUUUUCUUCUAUAGAAGUCAAUCAAAUCUGAAGCACAUUGGAUCGUGGUGGAGAAUACUGAAUUUACAAGGUCAGAAUUGUACUAGUGUCUUGUGAUUACAACAUUUAUGAAAUUUACAGUAAGCAGUUUUGUUAACUCAAUAAUGUCCUAAUGUAACCUUAAACCUGUUUCAUUCUCAAUGAAAAAACAUUAUUUUUCCAUGUUAGAA